rnacentral:piRNA from 1 species
UGGAUGACCUGAAACUCACAUCUUCC